rnacentral:rRNA from 1 species
UUAAAUUGAGAGUUUGAUCCUGGCUCAGGAUGAACGCUGGCGGCGUGCCUAAUACAUGCAAGUCGUACGCUAGCCGCUGAAUUGAUCCUUCGGGUGAAGUGAGGCAAUGACUAGAGUGGCGAACUGGUGAGUAACACGUAAGAAACCUGCCCUUUAGUGGGGGAUAACAUUUGGAAACAGAUGCUAAUACCGCGUAACAACAAAUCACACAUGUGAUCUGUUUGAAAGGUCCUUUUGGAUCGCUAGAGGAUGGUCUUGCGGCGUAUUAGCUUGUUGGUAGGGUAGAAGC